UAAAGAUUCAUCGCUGAUAGAUAGGCAUGCGUUCCAUUAGGCAGUUGGCGGGGUAACGGCCCACCAAACCGACGAUGGAUAGGGGUUCUGAGAGGAAGGUCCCCCACAUUGGUACUGAGACACGGACCAAACUCCUACGGGAGGCAGCAGUGAGGAAUAUUGGUCAAUGGGCGUAAGCCUGAACCAGCCAAGUCGCGUGAGGGAUGAAGGUUCUAUGGAUCGUAAACCUCUUUUAUAAGGGAAUAAAGUGCGGGACGUGUCCCGUUUUGUAUGUACCUUAUGAAUAAGGAUCGGCUAACUCCGUGCCAGCAGCCGCGGUAAUACGGAGGAUCCGAGCGUUAUCCGGAUUUAUUGGGUUUAAAGGGUGCGUAGGCGGCCUUUUAAGUCAGCGGUGAAAGUCUGUGGCUCAACCAUAGAAUUGCCGUUGAAACUGGGAGGCUUGAGUAUGUUUGAGGCAGGCGGAAUGCGUGGUGUAGCGGUGAAAUGCUUAGAUAUCACGCAGAACCCCGAUUGCGAAGGCAGCCUGCCAAGCCAUGACUGACGCUGAUGCACGAAAGCGUGGGGAUCAAACAGGAUUAGAUACCCUGGUAGUCCACGCACU
rnacentral:rRNA from 1 species